rnacentral:rRNA from 1 species
UACGAAGGGAGCUAGCGUUGUUCGGAAUCACUGGGCGUAAAGCGCACGUAGGCGGAUGUGUCAGUCAGGGGUGAAAUCCCGGAGCUCAACUUCGGAACUGCCUUUGAUACAGCACGUCUUGAGUCCGAUAGAGGUGGGUGGAAUUCCUAGUGUAGAGGUGAAAUGCGUAGAUAUCAGGAGGAACACCGGUGGCGAAGGCGGGUCUCUGGGCCGUAACUGACGCUGAGGAGCGUAAGCGUGGGGAGCAAACAGG